rnacentral:rRNA from 2 species
UGAGGAAUAUUGGUCAAUGGACGGAAGUCUGAACCAGCCAUGCCGCGUGAAGGAAUAAGGCCCUACGGGUCGUAAACUUCUUUUGUGGUGGAGCAAUAAGACGUACGUGUACGUCGAUGAGAGUACAUCACGAAUAAGCAUCGGCUAACUCCGUGCCAGCAGCCGCGGUAAUACGGAGGAUGCAAGCGUUAUCCGGAUUUAUUGGGUUUAAAGGGUGCGUAGGCUGUGUAGCAAGUCAGUGGUGAAAGCCCGGUGCUCAACACCGGAACUGCCAUUGAUACUGUUGCGCUGGAAUACGGAUGCCGUGGGAGGAAUGAGUAGUGUAGCGGUGAAAUGCAUAGAUAUUACUCAGAACACCGAUUGCGAAGGCAUCUCACGAAUCCGUCAUUGACGCUGAGGCACGAAAGCGUGGGGAUCAAACAGG